rnacentral:tRNA from 1 species
GGAGGAUUGGCCGAGUGGUAAGGCACCGGUUCGCUGAACCGCGGUCGGGCCGGAGAGCCCGCGCACGUUCGAUCCGUGCAUCCUCCG